CCUACGGGCGGCAGCAGUAGGGAAUCUUCCACAAUGGGCGAAAGCCUGAUGGAGCAACGCCGCGUGGGUGAAGAAGGUCUUCGGAUCGUAAAACCCUGUCGUUAGAGAAGAAAGUGCGUGAGAGUAACUGUUCACGUUUCGACGGUAUCUAACCAGGAAGCCACGGCUAACUACGUGCCAGCAGCCGCGGUAAUACGUAGGUGGCAAGCGUUAUGCGGAUUUAUUGGGCGUAAAGGGCACGCAGGCGGUCUUUUAAGUCUGAUGUGAAAUCCUUGGGCUUAACCGGAGUAGUGCAUUGGAAACUGGGAGACUUGAGUGCAGAAGAGGAGAGUGGAACUCCAUGUGUAGCGGUGAAAUGCGUAGAGAUAUGGAGGAACACCAGUGGCGAAGGCGGCUAUCUGGUCUGUAACUGACGCUGAGGUGCGAAAGCGUGGGUAGCAAACAGGAUUAGAUACCCCAGUAGUC
rnacentral:rRNA from 1 species